CUUCAGCGAGCCGAGCAGCAGCGGCCGGUCGGCCGGCCGGUUCUUCCCGUACGUCGCGAGGAGUGCCUGCGCCUC
rnacentral:antisense_RNA from 1 species